rnacentral:rRNA from 1 species
CCUACGGGUGGCAGCAGUGAGGAAUAUUGGUCAAUGGGCGCGAGCCUGAACCAGCCAAGUAGCGUGAAGGAUGACUGCCCUACGGGUUGUAAACUUCUUUUAUAAAGGAAUAAAGUGAUGCACGUGUGCCUCUUUGUAUGUACUUUAUGAAUAAGGAUCGGCUAACUCCGUGCCAGCAGCCGCGGUAAUACGGAGGAUCCGAGCGUUAUCCGGAUUUAUUGGGUUUAAAGGGAGCGUAGAUGGGGUGUUAAGUCAGUUGUGAAAGUUUGCGGCUCAACCGUAGAAUUGCAGUUGAUACUGGCAGUCUUGAGUACAGGAGAGGUAGGCGGAAUUCGUGGUGUAGCGGUGAAAUGCAUAGAGAUCACGAAGAACUCCGAUUGCGAAGGCAGCUUACUAACCUGCCACUGACAUUGAUGCUCGAAAGUGUGGGUAUCAAACAGGAUUAGAUACCCUGGUAGUC